GGAUGCGAUCAUACCAGCACUAAAGCACCGGAUCCUAUCAGAACUCCGAAGUUACGCGUGCUUGGGAGAGAGUAGUACUAGGAUGGGUGAC
rnacentral:rRNA from 1 species